rfam:Nicotiana attenuata strain TT chromosome 6, whole genome shotgun sequence.
GGGCGUUUGGUGUAGUGGUAUGGUUCUCGCUUUGGGUGCGAGAGGUCCCGAGUUCGAUUCUAGGAACGCCCC